rnacentral:rRNA from 1 species
UACGUAGGUGGCAAGCGUUGUUCGGAAUUAUUGGGCGUAAAGGGCGCGUAGGCGGUCACGCACGUCCGUUGUGAAAUCGCUCGGCUCAACUGGGCGGGGUCAGCGGAUACGGUGUGACUGGAGCAAGCUAGGGGGCAAUGGAAUUCCCGGUGUAGUGGUGGAAUGCGUAGAUAUCGGGAGGAACACCUAUGGCGAAGGCAGCUCGCUGGGACGUUACUGACGCUGAGGCAUGAAAGCGUGGGGAGCAAACAGG